GUUCAAGUAGACGCUGGUGACAAGUGGCAUCCCCCAAGCAUCUGUCUUGGGACCAUUGCUCUUUAACAUUGUCUCGCUCCAAUUUAUAGGAGGGAGAAGAGGUUCUUUGAAAUAUGUAUGCCCGGUGUGAGAUUAAGAAACAACAGUUCACAUGUUGGUCCGACCAGUUUAUUACAAAUGUUAAUAAGGGAGAUGGGGAAAGGGGAGGACAGACACUAUUAAGGAUUGGGGUGAUGGGGAAGGGAAGGCGAGCGAUAGAAAAGAUAGAAAGAGGCAAGAAUUGCGUAAAGCAGGGAUAGUCACCACCAGGAUCCGGCAGCAGUCCCGUUGCACGACGUUCCGAUGGUCCGAGGCCGAAGGGCAGGAGCAGCGAGGCCGGUCUUGGGCAACGAGAGGGUGCAGGUACCGGGUGGGUCCAGGAAGAAGCAGCUGAGUAAGUCAGGGAGGAAGCAGCAGGUCUCAGGUAGCAGGCCCAGGGAAGUCCGUCAGCAAACGGUCCGUAGAGAAGGAUCUGAAGGCAGGAAGCUUGUGUCGUGGUGAGAGAUCAUGAGAGAUCAGCCUCUGUGUUGCGGUGAGAGAUCAGCCUCCAUGUUGCGGUGAGAGAUCAGUCUCCACAGAACCCCUCAAGUCUGUCGUGGUGAGAGAGAAGCCUCUACCUCGCCGUGGUUGUUGGACCCUCUUUCAUCCUCCAUUUUCUCCUGCCUAUGUGACAUUCCUGGGUGCUUGAGCAAGAGUCCUCGGCAUACCUCCUGAGAUGGCUCGAUCUUCCUCGAGAUAAGUCCACACAAAAAGACCGUUUCCCAGCCAUUAGCAGCAGCUUAUCUCUCUCUCAAUGCCCCUGGCCUUGUCCAUCUGUGCUCCUUAGAGGAUUUCACAAUCCUUAGCCAGGACCUGUCCAUCAGUGUCCUCAAGACAAAAGAUUUCUCUACAUUUGCCCAGGACUUGCCUGGACUUGUUCCUCAGCAAACUUUGAGUCAAAUGAUAUAAAAGAAUAAUCUCUUACAAACAUCUUUAUUAAUGACAUUGAUGACAGAAUUGAGUGUACCCUCAGCAAGUUUGCUGAUGACACCAAGCUAAGUGGUGCAGUCAACACAGUGGAAGAAAGGGAUGCCAUUCAGAGGGACCUUGACAGACUUGAAAGGUGGGCCCGGGUGAAUAUAAUGAGGUUCAACACAGCAAAGUGCAAGGUUUUGCGCUUGGGCUGGAGGAAUCCCAGUCAUCUAUACAAACUGGAAGGAUCAGUCCUUGAGAGUAGCCCUGCAGAGAAGGACCUGGGGAUCCUGAUGGAUGAAAACUUAAUAUGAGCCAGCAGUGUGUUCUUGCAGCUUGGAAAGCAAAUGGUAUCCUGGGCUCCAUCAUGAGAGGGGUGGACAGCAGGGAUGGGGAGGUGAUUAUCCCUCUUCACUCUGCUUUUGUGAGGCCUCAUCUGGAGUACUGUGUCCAGGUCUGGAGACCCCAGUACAAGAAAGACAGAGAUUGGAGAGGGUCCACAGGAGGGCCACUAAGACGAUUAGAGGCCUGGAGCACCUCCCCUAUGACGACAGGCUGAGGGAGCUGGGCUUGUUCAGCCUGGAGAAAAUAAGGCUGUGGGGUGACAUAAUUGCAGCCUUUCAGUACCUAAAGGGAGCCUAUAAACAGUAGGGGAGUCAACUCUUUGAAAGGGUAGAAAACAGCAGGACAAGGGGAAAUGGUUUUAAGUUGAGGGAGGGCAUAUUUAGGUUGGAUGUCAGGGAGCAGUUCUUUACUAUGAGAAUGGUAAGGUACUGGAACAGGCUGUGCAGAGAGGUUGUGGAUGCCCCAUCCCUGGAGGUGUUCAAGACCAAGUUGGAUGGGGCACUGGGCAGCCUGGUCAGGUAUUAAAUGUGGAAGUUGGUGGCCCUGCCUGUGGCAGGGGAGUUGGAGAUUCAUGAUCCUUGAGGUCCCUUUCAACCUGGGCCGUUCUGUGAUUCUGUGAAGAAAGCGUGGAGGAAGUAGGAACAAACAAAAUGUAGCUUAAAACCAAUUUAUCCCACCUACAAUUGUUUAAUACUUCACUUCUGGAGUUCUGUAUGUUUGUUUGUUUCUUGAUUUUUUGUUGUUGCUUCUGUAAAGAAUAUAUCUAAGUUAAACAUCACUGCAAAAACAACACAGCAGUAACUGCAGUGUUAUCUGUGUUCCCUCAGUGCACUAGGCAGAGGACUUUUAAUUUCAUACCUCAUUUACAACUUGCUGCACUGAUUCCACACAUUUCUUUAUCACAAGAAAAAAAAAAAGAAAAAAAAAAAAGAUUGCUAACAUUUUACCCCUGAUCUCAGAUUCUCUAGUUUUAGAUUUGCUGUUAGCUCUUUGCUUCACAAUCCACUACUGACUCUUCAGAAGGGCAGAAGGGCACUGAAUCAUCCAAAUGAGAUAUCAAAACAAUGCCCUUUAGAUCACCCCCAUACCUUUCUGGAAAAAUGCAGUAUCUUCUGAGAAAGUGAAAUAUAUUUAUCUCUGGUUCUAAAAAGCAUAAAUUCUUUGCCUAAAAAUGAUUAUUUGUUAUUGUUUAUAUUAUGUCUAUAAAUGUCUGGCAUGCAAAUGACUAGAUUUGUCACCUACUUGACAAAACAGGAAAAUCUAUUCAGACAUACUUGGAUAGAGCAAUGU
ensembl:lncRNA